rnacentral:rRNA from 1 species
CCUACGGGAGGCAGCAGUGAGGAAUAUUGGUCAAUGGACGAGAGUCUGAACCAGCCAAGUCGCGUGAAGGAUGACUGCCCUAUGGGUUGUAAACUUCUUUUAUAAAGGAAUAAAACGAGGCACGUGUGCCUUUUUGCAUGUACUUUAUGAAUAAGGAUCGGCUAACUCCGUGCCAGCAGCCGCGGUAAUACGGAGGAUCCGAGCGUUAUCCGGAUUUAUUGGGUUUAAAGGGAGCGUAGAUGGGUUGUUAAGUCAGUUGUGAAAUUUUGCGGCUCAACCGUAAAAUUGCAAUUGAUACUGGCAGUCUUGAGUACAGUUGAGGUAGGCGGAAUGCGUGGUGUAGCGGUGAAAUGCUUAGAUAUCACGAAGAACCCCGAUUGCGAAGGCAGCUUACUAAACUGUGACUGACAUUGAUGCUCGAAAGUGUGGGUAUCAAACAGGAUUAGAUACCCGUGUAGUC